rnacentral:rRNA from 1 species
UACAGAGGUCCCAAGCGUUGUUCGGAUUCAUUGGGCGUAAAGGGUGCGUAGGCGGCUUUGUAAGUUAGAGGUGAAAGCCCGGGGCUCAACUCCGGAACUGCCUUUAAGACUGCAUCGCUUGAAUCCAGGAGAGGUGAGUGGAAUUCCGAGUGUAGAGGUGAAAUUCGUAGAUAUUCGGAAGAACACCAGUGGCGAAGGCGGCUCACUGGACUGGUAUUGACGCUGAGGUGCGAAAGCGUGGGGAGCAAACAGG